rfam:Alligator mississippiensis ScZkoYb_72, whole genome shotgun sequence.
UGGUUCAGUGGUAGAAUCUUUGUCUGGUACACGGGUGACCUGGGUUCAAUUCCCAG